rnacentral:tmRNA from 1 species
GGGGGUGUUCUGGAUUCGACCCUUGGUUGGAGUGCAUGGCUGCCCUCCGCGAGUGAAGGCCUCGCGUAAAUCAUCCUUCACAAAAAACAUAAACGGCACCUACGAAGAAAUGCCCCUCGCCGCCUAAGUGCGGUGACGAUCUCCCAGCGACGUCCACUAGCUGAUGAGAUCGACGACAGUGGACAUAACGCCCAGAGCCACCCGCGGUGUGGGCGUCGUAUCUUCGAUCCGGGGGUUAGUUGACGACAUUGCGCGUGCAGUCGCGGGUCGGCGGCGAAUUUAAAACGGCACUAUGAGGGUAGGCGCUGUGUGCGAAGGUCAGGGGGACGCGGGUUCAACUCCCGCCACCUCCACCA